rnacentral:rRNA from 1 species
AUGAGUUUGAUCCUGGCUCAGAACGUACGCUGGCGGCACGCCUAACACAUGCAAGUCGAACGAAGUAGCAAUACUUAGUGGCAGACGGGUGAGUAACAUGUAGGUAUCUGCCCUUUGGCCUGGAAUAACACGAGGAAACUUGUGCUAAUACCGGAUAAGUCUUUACGGAGAAAGCUUUAUGCACCAUUGGAUGAGCCUGCACUUGAUUAGUUUGUUGGUGGGGUAAUGGCCUACCAAGACUGUGAUCAAUAGCUGAUUUGAGAGGAUGAUCAGCCACAUUGGGACUGAGACACGGCCCAAACUCCUACGGGAGGCAGCAGUGGGGAAUCUUGCACAAUGGAGGAAACUCUGAUGCAGCGAUGCCGCGUGAGUGAAGAAGGCCCUUGGGUUGUACAGCUCUUUCGUCGGGGAAGACAAUGACUGUACCCGAAUAAGAAGGUCCGGCUAACUUCGUGCCAGCAGCCGCGGUAAUACGAAGGGACCUAGCGUAGUUCGGAAUUACUGGG